UUUCUGUACCAGCACACAGUGGGAUAAAAGGAAAUGAGAUGGCAGCUAGGAUGACAAAGAAGGUAAAUCAUAUUAGCUUUACGUUUAAUAUUAGUAAAUCAGAGGUAAAAAAAAAAAAAAACAUGAUUAAACAAAGGUUGAAGAAAGAAUGGCAGAAAAUGUGGGAUGGAGAAACGAAAGAAAGAUGACGGUUUUAUAGAAUCAAAAAAGGCAUAGGAGAAAUAAGAACUGGAAGAUGGGGCCGAAAGGAGGAAAGAUUACAAGAUUUAGAUUUGGACACACAGCACCUAAUCCUACACUGGCUAAUAUACAAAAGCACAGUACAGGGAAAUGAAAAUUGUGUGGGGUGGAGGAAUCAACAGAACAUUUUAUACUGAAAUGCCAGAAAUAAGAAUGAGAGAAUUAAAUAAAUCUACUAAACACAUUGGAAAGUGGUUUAGGGAGCAGACAUAUACCACUUAUUGUUAGAUUAUUUAAGAAAACAAAGUUGAUUAAUAAGAUGUGAUUAUAUGGUAAAUAUAGGGACUUAAUUUCUGACGCAACACCAGCUGGUGGCGGAAGAGUGCACCUUAAAGUGUUUUACCAACCGCCAAAAAAAACUCCAGCAGAAGAAGAAACGCGACGACUGGCUGUCUGUGUGCAGUGCCAGCAAACUCGGAGGUGGAUGUCGGUGCUCACGUUAUUUAAAGAGGAUAAUCGGAAGCAAGUGUUCCAGAGAAGCAAGAAGAGCAGAUUUUUGUUAUUACAUGGUCGGCCUGGGUUCCAGACUACAAAGUUAACGAGACUUAAGCCACAGCCGGAUGGCAUGGACUCAACUUACCUCUACGGAUGCUGACCAGCUGUCUUAGUUUUGCCUUUUAAUUUAGCAAAUAAACUCUAAAGCAACACAA